rnacentral:lncRNA from 1 species
AAAAGGAAGACAUGAAAUAAGAUCAAAGACUUGAAUAAAAACCCAAUGACAAGACCCAAAAUUAUAAUUAAAAAAAAAUUAAUAGAUUAAUCAACUAUAUUGACAGGUCGAGCAGUUGUUUUCGUAUAUUCGUGAAGAGAAAUGAUACUAACCUUCUUUCUUAGUUUUAUCAAGAAAAAUAUAAUCUUUCAUAGAUACACCAAUAUUUAUGUAUUGCUUUGAAAAAAAAGAAUACUUCAAUUUUUAGUUUAAUGGUAUAAAUUUUAAUUAUAUACUUCAAAUUAUUUAUCAUAAAAAUAAAAUAAAAUAGUGUUGCAUUGAACUACUAUAAAAAGACACCAUAAAAAAAUAAAAUAAAAAUAGUAGAAAUAUUAAAUAAUGAUGAGGUAGCAAUUAUUUCAUAAAGAAAUAAAAUAUAAAGCACGAUGCUUACCUACUAGAUGCGACAAGAUGGUAUGUUCACACGUUUGGAUCCCUAAGAAAACAUGUAAGUAAUAUUAUUAUAAUUAUCUUCAUCUAUAUUGGUCUAUUUAUAACAAUGUUCAUGACAAUAUUGAAUAACUACUUCUAUUUGACUUAUUAGAUAAUCAUCAUUUAUGGUUAAAAACCAAAAAUGUUAAACUUAAUAGUCGUUGAGAGAUGUAAUUCUUAUAAAGUUGAAGAAGGUCAUGAAUUAUCUCAUGCAAUAUAGAGUUAGUGUAUCAAGAGAUAACCUUAAAAGGUAAUUUUGGGUUACAUUGACAUAAGAAUGGCAGUUUUGUGGGCUACUUAGGUAACCCACCCUACCCUACCCCCUAUUAGAAUGGGUAUGAAAUAUAAAAAUUGGAUAUGGGAUGGAUCCGAGAAUAUUUUAAAAACCCGAACUAUGUUUGGAACGGGAAUGGAUUUUAUCACAACCUACCUGCCUCACCCCAAAUAUUAAUUUAUGAAAUUAUCCUUCAAUUACUAGUAAAAAACUAUAUAUAUAUAUAUAUAUAAUAUAAAAAAAUAUAAAUAAAUAAAUAAAUAAAACUCACUAUUUAUAUACUUCUUUCUUCACAUUUGCCUUAAUUCCAAUGACCCUUUCUUUUUCCUCUAAUGCACCACCUAAAACCCUAUUUCAAGGAUCAAUGCCACUUCUUCUUCCUCCGAAAGACUAAGAAAUUAAUUCCAUAUUGCUCUUGUUUUAGCCUCAAAUUAAUUCCAUGUUGCUCUUGUUUUAGCCUCAAUGUCCUAAACUCCUCUGUCGCCGCAUCAAACUAGUCAUAGGCCACAUUGUUCCUAUCCACCACUCAAUCACACCCAUCAUUGGCAUCUUCGAGCUUCCCCGUUCUCUCUGUCCUAAAUACGCGCAACACAAUCAUCUAGAACAUCAACUUGAAGCAUUUGUUUGAGAGCACAACUCAAGAAAAACAUGAAAGCCAUUGAAGUAGUAGAUUUGAUGAAGUCUUGAUUCAAAUAUUGACCUUGAGAGGGAUCUAAAUUCAUGGUUGAUGUUGACCCGUGUUCUCUUUGAUUCAUUGCUCAUUCUAUUCUAUUGUGAAUUGUUCAAAUGAUUUUUUUCAUAUUUGGCAGAUUAUUAGAAUAUCAUUAUUUUGCAAUGAAUUGGAUUAAUCAUACCUAACCAAAUUUGACAAAAUCCACAUUCAAGACAAGGUGGGAAUGGGGUUAUUAAUCCUUUCAUCAAUGGGAAUGGGAACAAAUCAACAUAUCCCGACACAAGUUUGGGAUGGGGAUGGGAGAUAACAACAUAAUUGGGAUGGGAGUAGGAUAGGAGUGCCCCACCAUCCCAAGCCUAGCUUGUUGUCAUCCCUACAUUAUCCCAGUGUUCCAAGAGAUAAUUCAUGGUCCUUUUUAGCUUCAUAUUAUGAUGGGAAAUUAAAAUUCUAUAAGAAUCACAACUCCCAAAGCUCCGGUAGCCAAAUAAAAAACAAAUAAACAAAAACUAUAGUUUUAUCUUAUGGAUCACUAUUAUGUAACAAGUCAAAUGAAAUCGACAUUCAACAAUAUCAUUAGAACUUCUAUAAUAGACAAUAAAAACAAAAACAUUUACAAUAAUAUUAUUAAAGACAAUAUAUCCUUCCGUUAUUUGACCUCAUUAAUUACUUUAAUGAAUAUUCCUUUUGAAAUAGAUAAUUAAUAAUGAUAUUUAAUAUGUUCUUAACAUGUACUUUUGAAAGAAAAAAAAAACCCUAAAUAUAAGUACAUAAACAUAAUGUGUAGUCUGCCAAAAAUACAUAAAAUUAAUUCAUAUGAAUAUGAGUAGUGGUAGUAGAGGAAUUUGCACUAAUUAUAGUUAAAAUCAUGAAAAAUAAUAAUAAAUUUAAUACUUUUUUUUGUUUAAGUAACCUUUAAAGUUAUUAUUUUUCAUUAUAUAUUAAUUUUAAUGAUAAGAUAUAAAUGUUCUACCUAGUCAAGAAUUGUUUGAUCCAGAAGCAAAUAGAGAAUCCCAAAAAAAAUUUAAAAACAAUAAUAAUAAAAUAAUAAAAUAAAAUCAAAGUGUUAAACUGUUACCACACUUCAAAGCUUUCAAUUUCUAAACUCUCCUAUAAAGUGCUAAAAAGGUAGUAUGGCUUCUAAUUUAAUAUACAAAAAAAAAAAUUACCAGAAACCUUAUUCACUCAUAAUCAGCUAUAACUUCAAACAACCUUCUAAAACAAUAUCAGGAUUAAAAAUGCCCAAAACAAAACAUACAUAGGUGUCCUACAAAUGAGAUUAUCAGCCAAAUGGCACAUACAAAUCCAACAGCAGCACAUUGGAAGACACAGUGAAUGUUAAAUAUUCAGACAGAAAAAGUCAUUUUGAUAACAGCGAACCAGGCUUGGUUUCCUAAUAGGCAUAUGUUAAAAAAAUUUCAGUUGUCCAAUUUACAUCAAUGAACAGGUAAGUGCAUUUUUGUAAUCUAAUCAUUGGCAGAGAACAGAAUGGCAUAUAUUGCUUGCCCACUUAAAUUAAUUAGGCAACCCUAUGUCCGGAGCUAUGGCAGGUUGUUUUUACGUCCUCUUGUGAAGUAUAUAUGCAUUAAAAGCACAGAAUUAUAUAGAUGAAAAAUACAAUCAUUCAACAAUUACCUUCCAUCAAAAAGUGCUUCUUUCAGCAAGGUAUAGAAUUCAUAUGCCCAAGAAACAGAUUCACUUCUGAGACCAUGGACACUCAGAUUAUGAGUAGCACUUCCAGAAUCAAUGACUAGGACACCUUCCUCCCUGGGAGGGGCCCAUGCCUCCCAUGUUGUAGUGACAACUUCCAUCCCUCUUUGUCUGAAUGGAGAACUGGCACACCAAGAUAUCCGCUUCUGGAUACAUAAGCAUGAAGGGGAUCCAUGUGCCAUGACCUAGCCCAUGCUUUUUAUCAUCAUUCACACACUUGAAGCUGGAUGCCAUGAGCAAUUCCUUAACCUGGAGCUCCAGGAGCUUUGGAUACUUGAGCUGAAAAUAGGAAAGAAAGGGAUUAAUAUGACUAAUUCCACCUUACCAUCAUCCUUCACCCUAUGGAAUAUCACAAUUCUCACCCACCAUCACUUUUAACAAGCAGGAGAAAGCAUAUUAAAAUAAUAAAAGAAGUCUCCACAAUCUUCCAGCAAUAGAAUUAACAACUGGAUCAAUUCGACGACUGAGUUCUCUGAAUUGGGUGGUAAGUAGUGGCAGGGUAUCCAGUGUUCAGAGAGAGAGAUAGUGGUUAAUCAUGUCAUCAAAGAGAGAGAAGAAUAACUUUUGUCAAGUUCCAGCAAUACCACAUUCUUGGCUUGCCGCCAAUCAUUAUUGUCAAGAAGAGAGACAGAAGAAUAACACUUUUCUAAUACUUUACUAAUAAUUCAUCCAUUCCAGGGUACCAAAGCUAGGUUACUAUUUUAUUUUGAUAAUUAAUCUCUCCUAUUUCAUGGUAUUAAGGAAAAUUAGGAUUGCAUUAGGAUUGACCAGCAAUUUUUUUAGGCUCAUGGACAACAAGCAUGCUUCAAAAAUUAUCGUUGAACAUCUAGCCAACAAAAUGAUAGCACAACUUCAGUCCCAUGGACGCAUCUCUACAAACAAGAAAAAGCUCAUAUCACAUAGAAACAAGAAAUGAACCAUCUGGAUGGAAACACCAUAACAUAAAAAGUAUAUCAUGGGUUUCACUAUCUCAGAAAAAGCUAUUCUAAGUUUUAACACUUAGCAAUGUCCUAAGAAUUCCAUGAAAAUUAAAAGAUGUUGGAUCAAUAAUGCUAAAACAUUAAGAAUAGAAUGAGUUCUCCAAACUGAUUCACACAAUUUUUCAAAAAAUAAAGGAAAAAAAAAAUUGAUAGGCAAAAAGAACAGAAAGAAUAGAACAAAAAAAACAAUUGGCACAAACCUUAUACAUGGGUUCGAGUAUGCCAUAGAAAUCAUGGAUGGUUUCAUUUUGGUGGACGGCAUUGACUGGGUUUGUGGGUCUUCCAGUGCACAGAAAUCACGCAAAUAGAAGAGGGUCUCUGGCUCAGUAUCUUCUCCUUUCAUAACUAGAGGAAGUGACUUAAUCGCUGUGAAUCGUCAUUGAUCGGCAGUGUCAGCAAUCCGUGUGAUAUGUAGAAAGUAUCCAAUUCUAGCAUAUCUCACAAUUCUUCCUUAAUAUUUUUUCCCAUGGUAAGAUGUCAUAGAAAUUAAAAUAAUUGAGAGAUGAAUGGGUUUUAACAACAGAGGCAUGUAGCAGAAUUCAAUUUUAAGUUUCUAACCAGUGGUGGAGCUAAGAAGGCCCCCCACCCCGGAAAAAAAAAAUGAAAUAACUGAGAUGAAUGGACUGUAAUAGCAGAAUUCAAUUCCAACCAAUGGCACAUCAUUUAGAACUGGAGCAUGUCAAUGAACUGAUAGACAAAAGCAUUAAUUUAAGUAGGUAAUAUAAGACCAGAAGAGGAAAUGCAUGUGAAUGAAACAUUAAAUAAAGGUGUUAACAUAAAUUUGCAGUAUAAGACCAGAAGAGGCACAUGUCUUAUCUCUCAUACUAGGGGCUCAAUCAUAAGCCUCAAUGCUAUAAUGUCUGGCUGAAGAUUUAGAAAAUCUAAACCAUCCGCAUGACAUCAAUUCUCAAAUGGGUAUUAGUAACAAAAGAUAUUAUGGUAGUCAUUUGGGCAAUGAAUUGGACAUCAAAUUGCAAUAUAAAUAACAAGAAAAUCCAUUUCAUGUCUUCGGAUUGGUGAUCAGUAGCCUGAUUCUGUUUUUGAUAUUUAACUUUAUGAUAUGCUACCAGAGGGAGUUACCUGCUUUAAAACACAAGGAAUGCCAUGAGGUGUUUUCCAGAUUACUUUACUUCAAGAUAGACGUUUGGAAGUAAGAAAUGAACAUUUUAUGAAUGGAUUUAAAACUUCUUUGGAUCCUGUAACCAUGGAACAUAGUACCUCAACAAACUUCAAUAAUAUUCCCAGAUAGAUUAUCCAACUUCUAAGGUAACGGGAUAAUGGGUGUACAGAAUAGUAAAGAUGUGGAAAAGGUAAAAUUUCAACCAAAAUCACAUAACAAGGCAAUGUUUAAUCCAGAAAGCAUAAAAAAACUGCAUAUCUUUGAUGAAAUGCCAGCAGAUUGCAGCAUUGUAGAAACACAAGCAAAGUAUGAUAGAAAUGGAAUGAAUGCCUUGUUUGAGUCUGUGGUGCAUUUCAUGUUCUCUUCAACUUCUUCCUUGAAAGAGUUCCCUUUGCAGUUGGGUGUGAUCGAGCAGCAGCAGUAGCAGCAUAAGUCCUCAGCUUCUUGAGGAUCAUCCUCUCACUCACACGCAACAUCAGAGAAUGGUAUAACUUCUGAUCACUUAUGCAACAACUCCUCAAUGCAUCAAUAUCAUCUACAGAAUUUGAACCAUAUAAGCUCUCCCGAGCAUCUGCAAGUGCCAACAGGGCAUCACACACACUUUUGGUCAGCAACAAUUCCUUGCUUAUUUCUGAAGUUUUUCCAAAAGGAAUCAUGCCCCUUUCCAAUGAAAUCACCAUUUCAUUCAAAUUUCCUGCAGUAGAUACUAUAAGAUCCAGCUUAUUAUAUGCUUCCUCUGGCAGUAACAUUAUGUAAAGCAAAAUCAGCAGCUCAAUUUCGGGUUCCCCAUUAGAUGAGAUUUCAAAAUAUUCAGAAUUCUGGCUCACACAUCCAUGGUAAUCCAACCUCCUCCACAAUGAAAGCCUUCCUCUACUAUGCCGACCAGAGAACAAAGCUGAACUCCAAUGAAGUACCAGUUCAAGAUCAAUAUUCACUAUAUCAUUCGGAUUAUCAGGCUCUGUAAAUCCAUAUCUGUGUAGCAAUCCAGCAUUACCCAUAGACCCAUAUGUAUUAAAUACCUGACAGGAAAAGAACAAAGAAAAUGAGAAACAAAAUCAAACAUCCCAUAUGUGGCAAUCCAGUAUUAGUGGUUGCAAAGCUGGUGUGGACUUCAUAAGAAGAAAGGAAGUUAACCAGGGUGAGACAUCUGAACAAAUAAAAUGCUAACCUCAUCCCCGGCUUUGACACUUUUCACAAUAAUUGUUUCCAAAAUCAUCGAAUCAUUCCCCAAAUAUGAAGGGUCUUCCAAGUUACCAUCAUCGAAAGAAUUUUGAGGAAGUGGUUUAUUAUCACUCAUAUUGUUGCCCUCAUCAUUGUUGUCUGUAUCAUUAUCGGAGUCACCAUGAGACAAUUCAGUGGUGAAGUGUACAUUCUCAGCUCCCGUCUUGUGAUUAAAGCUGGAAUCCAUAGAAAUCAUUUAUCAAGGUUAAAAACACAAAAGAAGGAAAGGAAUAUUGAGGCUCAUAAAAAGGAGAUAUUUUAAUAUACCACUGGAAAACACAAAAGGACUUUUCAUGUUAGCAAGAUCACAUCCAUCUACAAACAGAAAGCUAACUCUGGGGUGAAGAUGCUUCUGCGAUGUAAUUAUAUGUGUACAGGGCAGAUGUGAGCAUCACCUAAAUUCAAUAAAGCAAAUAACAUCCUUAAUCAUGGCAUUGAAAAGACAAAGCAUCUUGCAAAAACACCCUUAAAGUACUUGCAAUACCAUGUUUUGCAUUUCCAUGCAAAAACUAAAAAGAAUAAUUUUAUACUUUUAUUUCCUUGUUUCAGUGUGCAUAUCUUUAAAGAAACAGAUGCACAGUGGUACAACCAAUCUUCGUUAAGUGGAUUGGACUUCAAUCAAUUAUUAAAGCCAACUUCAAAAGAAGAAGAAGCUUUUCCAAAGCAACUUCACAUUUGAUAGAUACUCCAACAAAAACCAUAUCAAGGCAUAUGAUAAGAAAAAGAGCUUCUCUGCCAAGCUCAGAAAAUUUAUAUAAGGAAGCAAAGAAAAGAAAAGAAAAUUAUUUAUAAAAAAAAAAAAAAAAAAACAGCAGCAAAUGAUACAAAAUAUGACACAAUGUAAAGCAUCCUUCCCUUUGAAAAGAGGAUUUACAAGAAAUAGAAUUUCAUAGAAACAAAACCCCAGAGGAUGCUGCUGUUCAAAGUGAAGAAGUAAACUAGGGAUAACAACAAUGUACCUUCUGGGUGAAGGAAAUGAAUCCAAGAUGCAAAAGAAUCAUUUUUGAGUAAAAUUAUGCUAGAAAAUUAUUAGGCUUAAUACCAGAAGAGGAAUCCAAUGGUUUUUCCUUGCCAUGUUGCAUCCUCCAUCAAUCCACCAAGUUUGUCCUGUUCAAAGUUCAACCCCCAUCAAGGAGUGGACCAACUUAUCAUCCCUUGCUGUUCAACCACUAAGAUCUAAACAUUGAAAUUGCUUCUUUUCAAAAUUUGAUGUCUCAUGAUCAAUGCCACAGAAGAUGUUUGCCCCAUAAUAAGGUUGGUAGGAGCCUUCACUAUGCUUCUUAGACACUUGUUGACCCACCAGAACGAGGGAACACAAGAAUGUUUGAGGAGAAAAUCUCAUUUGGAUAUCAUGAAGAAGUGGAUUUUUAAAACUAACUUCUCUAGGACAACAAUUAUCAAGGAGAUUGGAGGUCAUUCUCCUGCUACAUUCCAUGCUGACUAUUUCACUCCAUGGAUGCUUCCAUUAUGAAGCAGUAUGGAAAUUUUUCUUGUUCUGAAAAUUGAUCAAGUGAUAAAUCUAAAGGCUACAAGAAUAAAUCUCCAUUUAUAAAAUGAUUUUGCUAAAAUUCAAUUCUGUAGAACCCUUAAGAGGAGUGAUGCUUUUAUUUCCUAGACCUCCUAGUCCUAAAUAAUCGGUGAACUGCAAGUAUGAUAAAUUUAAUACAGUUCCUCUCAUCUAGAAGAUAUCGUAAGAUGGGACCCUAACAUAGUAAAUGAUGGGUUACACAGAGAAAACAGAUUCAAAUACACAAAUUGAAGAGAUCAAGAGACAAGAACAUAAACUUGAGAAUGAUCAAGAAAUGGUAAGAGUUUCUGAAAACUAGGCUUCCAUCAAUGUUACACUGAGCCCUUCUGCUUUAACUAUAGCAAGAACUGAUCAGUUGAGCAUAGAAAGAUAGAUCCCACCCUCUAUGUUGCAUGAUGACAACUAUUAUUAAUAAAUUCAUAAUAUGAGCAUGCAAUACUACAACCAUAAAAUAAUGCUUUGAAACCAAAAUUUUUACAUAAGGCUGUCUAUCAAAAAUGUAACUUCAGUAACAGUGGGAAGCAGAAAAGCUUAACCCUGCAUAGUUGGACUUGGGUAACUAAUGCAAAUACUUGGUCAGUGUUUCUUCAUGUUGAAUUUAGUAUAAUUUAUGCCCAACACAAAAAUUAAAAUUUCCAUGUAAAAUAGUCCAAUUAAGUACAUACAUAUCAAUAUAUGGUAAACUGCCCCUUGAGGCCUAGCUCAAGUGGUAAAAGGAUGGGGAGGGUUUGUUGGAGGUUCCAGGUUCAAGUCCCAAUGGGGACAAAAGUUACCUAUUAAAAUAUAUAUAUAUAUAUGGUAAACCGUAAACCAUACCCACAAAAAUAAAAGAAUAAAAGCAAAUCAGAUCUAUAGUCAAUCAUGUGAGAUUCAAAUGACCCAAUUAAAUGAUGGUAUACUCAUAAAAUGGGCAGCAAAGAAAGCAACUUACAGAUCAGCCAAAGGAACCAUCCCAAACCCAUGGUAAUCAUCUACCUCAAAAGAUCGAGAUGCAACAAGGCUUUUUGCAGCAAUGUACUGUUCAACACCAAAGAAGUCUGGACUGAGCUUUAAAGAUGUUGAAUCCAUAAGGGGUAGAAUGUUCUCUUUCCAGUCAUCAUAAAUAAGUGCCUUAUCUUCUUUCACUAUCUGCCUACAAGUGUACCAAAAUAACAAAAGGAGAAGAAUUGUUAAACUAAAAUGAUCAUGCCCUAAACAAGUGUCAGUAGUAACAGAUUGUAAAACAAUGCAACGAAAGCAGAAAAGAAGUGGAAAAUCAGAAGGCUAAAAUCUCAUAGGUUGUGCAAUGCACUUUUAUUUGCACAGUCACCAACUUGAAACUUUAGCUUUCAUUACUUCUACAGGGCACAGACUUGUAAAUUUUGAUGUCAAAAUUUUCUUGUUUACAUAGAUGAUGAUAAAUAGCAAUGGAAAAUUCUCUAGCCUUUAUUAAUCAACUAAAUUCUCUAAUCUUCAUUAAUCAAAUGUACUACCUUAACAAUUAUUAUGUGCAUAUAUCUUGCUAAGAGUUAGUUGACCUUAUAUAAAAUGUUGGUUAACCUCCAAAAAGUGAAGCUUUUGAAGCAACUGGUAGCCAUGAGGAUCGGGGGAUUAGAAUCCCGUUGUUUGUUUAUUCAUCCAUUUAUUAAACCCAUAUGGUAAAAGAAGAUACAUGUAUAAUGGGGAUGAUAAGUGUCACUCAGUUGUAUACACAUCAUUGGUCCAUUAUGGUAAGGAAUAAUAUAACAAGGUAUCAUAACUUUAGAUCAGAUAUCUUUAUCUAUUUAUUUCCCCAUUUGUUGAACCAAUAUGUGAAAGGAGACCACCAUUGAGGUAGAGCAUUCAGUCCUAGUCAGUACCAUAUGGCAUACAGAUAGCUUAUGUGGGAGUUUAACAUAGUGGGUGGUUGAGUUUCACUUUAUAGAGAUAUUGGGUUUGAAUAUCUUCAUUUAUUCAUUCCUGCAUUUGUGGAGGAGGCCACAUUUAAGGAGGGCAUCAAGUAGCACCCAUCUCUCUACACAUUGUUGAUCCAUUACACAAAAGCUUAAACCUUUUGAGGUAAGUCGUGGUUAAUGCAACAUCAAAAUUUCAAUACCUAGAUAUCUUACCUUCGAAAGUGAUUCUAGUAGAAAUGCCUUUAAUCUGUAACCCUUUUUGUCCAGAAAUGAUUUUAAGAAGAAUCUAUUAGUGUUAUGACUAAAAAAAGUGUGAUUUUCACUUCUAACCCUCCCACGAAGUCAAUACCAUAAACCUACAUCUGAAUCCAACAUCAAAAUUACAACCAGCAACACAAACGACUCAACAAAUCUCACCUUGUGGAUCUCAGUACCAGAAAGAAGUGAAUCAACCUCAUCGAGGCUCCAGACCAACGGCAACGACUCCGAAUUCGGCAAGAGAUGAAGAUAGGGAGCCCAGGGAGAGGCAUGGCCCAAGCUAAUCUCAUACAUUAGGGCAAAAGAGAGCCCCAGAGGACCCUCAAAACCAUACUCUUCAAUGAUGUCCUUAGCACCAGAGGUCUUGACAGUGAGGCACGAGUCCUUGGGAAUGGUGGCCACAACAUCGCCCUCCUCCAGGUCGCAUUUGGCGUACACGGAGAUGCCCUGGUCGAGGGAAUGCGUGAUUUCUAGGGCGUCGCUGCAGUCUAUGCCCUGUGACUUCAUCCAUCUCUUGAAUGCCCUCAAUCGCCUGUUAAAUAGCUUCAGAUUUAGCUAAAAGGGACCGAUAUUAUCAUAUUAUUAUCAGAAGAAAGGAGAGAAGAGAAGGGGAGAGAAAAUGCCUUGCAAUAGUGGUGGUGGUGGACGCCGUGGCCGCCAUGACAACGCAGCAACGCUGUGUUCCGCCAGGACUCUGCCGUCACUCCUCUUGGGAAGCCUUGGGGUUUAGGGUUUACGAUGAUACACAACUUUUUAUUUUUUUUAAUGUCCUUUUGCCGCACAUUAAAAAAUCAAAUUUAAUACAUUUGAUUAAUAAUAACAUUUUUUCAUCAAACCUUUCUAAUUUCAAUUUUUUUUCACUUUUUUAUCUUUCCAUAUUUUAAUUAUUUAUAAAAGCUUUAAACACAAAAUAAUUCUAUAACAAAUCAUUAAUGACAAUAAGUUUAGAGAUUUAAAAAAUAAGAUUUUCUAUAUUCAUAUUAAACAAAAUAUUUAUUUAUUCUUAUGGCAUGUAGUUUAAAUAAAAAUAUUUUUAUCAUAUUAUUAUAAAUUUUUGUUUGAUUAAAAUGUUUACAUUUUUUUAUAUAAAAUAAAACAGUUUGAGCGUGAUUCUAAUUUUUUGUGCACCCCUAAUUUAUUUAAAUUGUGCAUCAUUACUCGUUCAAAUUGCAUAAUUACACACACAUACCCCAAUUGUACACCAUGGUUUUAACCUUUUGCUUGGUUAAAAUUUUUAGAACCACUUGUUUACCUACUCACAUCUAUUGUGACAUAGAUUAAAAUACCUCGUAUCUAACACUUGAAUAUAAAGAAGUAACAUUGUUGUAUAAAGAGAGUAUCAUGAUAUAUAAAGAAAGUACCAUUGAUAUCUAUAAUAUGUAUCACAUCUAAUGAAUGAUACAUCACCCUUCUUUGGGUUAUGGAUGAGGUUAGAACCAUGGUCAAAUUUUUAUUUUAUUUCAAUAAGAAAAUUAACAUUUUAACUUAGCAAAAGGUUAAAAUCAUUGUUAUGUUAAAACCAUAAGCAAAAAAAAAUUAAAAUCGUGAUCAUUAAUUCUUAUUUUCACAUCAAAAAAAAAAUUAAAUUUUAAAAUAAUAUGAUAAAAAUAGUUUUAUUUCAUUUAUAUGUGAUAAGAAUAAAUAAAUAUUUUGUUUAGUAUGGAUAUAGAAAAUCUUAUCUCCUAAACCUCUAAAAUUAUUUUCAUUAAUGAUUUAUUAUAUAAUUAUUUUGUGUUUAAAACUUUUAUAGAUAAAUAAAAUAUGAAAAGAUGAAAAAGUGAAAAAAAGAAAUGAAAUUAAAAAGGUUUGAUGAGAAAAUGUGUAACCAACAUUAAAAAAAUAAAUAAAAUUAAAAAAAAAAAAAUGAAGAAGGUGAAGCAUACAGAAGUUGUGUUUGUAGCCAACUAUUUGAAAGUAAUAUGACAAUCAAACUCCAAUAAGUUGGAAUAUGAGAUUUGACUGUCAAAGGGAAAAAUAUUAUCUUUCUUGUACACUAUUUGCUGACUCUAUUUUAUAUUCCUAAAUUGCCCAAAAUAAGAAAGAUGAACACAUUGAGCACUCUAAAUAAUUAUAUAAUGACAUGCUUUAAGGAUCGCAGAUGAAGUAAGUAAUGUUCACAAUUGAAGUUCCAAGGCUUCAAAUAGGUAGUAUUCAAGUUUAACUAAAGUAGUACCUAAUGUACAUUAAAAUGAUACCUAAGGGCUAUUAAAGUAAUACCUAAGGUAAAGUUCUAAAAAUAACAAUGCUAUUUGCAAUCGAAUAUAUUGAAUUCAAUGCGACUUGUAGGUCAUAUGGUUAUUUGGGAAUAAUAUGAUUUCCACAACCUAACACAAAAGUUCAAGUCCAUCAACAACUCCAAAAUCAUUGAUGUGCUCCAUUUCAAACAAAUGAACUAAAUAACAAUAAAUAUAAAUUAUUUACCUUCAAAUUUCAAUUUGGGGUUAGGGCAAAAUGCGACUCAAUGAUAGGAAGAGAUAUCUUGUUGACGAAGCCAAUAUUUUGGAUUCCAGCUUUCUAUUCAGGCACGGACUACAGUAGUAAAUUCACAAUCAUAGAUACACCUCUUGAAGUCAUCUUUUAUCCAAACAUUCUUAAGAUGGAAUGCUCAAUUUUGUUGUACUUUUAUGUGGACAAGAGAGAAACACGCAGGUUGAAGUUGUGGAUUAAUGGUUUUUUUAUAUCAAUUGAGAUAAAUUUUGAGAAAUUUUAUAUGGGUCUCAGGAUUGUAUAGGUGAUGAAGCCAAUAGAAAGAGAGAGAGAUGUUCCCUAAUAAGAGAGAAGAAAGGUUUUAGAUUAGGGAAAUAACAGCCGGUUGUCGGGUCGAGUGAUUUUUCAUAGGUUUCAAAUUCAGAUUUUUCUGCUUUUAAAAUUUUCAGUCUCUCUUGUGACAUGGAGGACUUGCUACUGGUAUGGGGACAAAGUUGCAACUGGCAUGGAGACAUGGAAGGGCAAUCUAGGAAUAUAAAAUGGAGUCAACAAAAAGUGCACGAGAAAUAUAAUAUUUUCCUCUUUGAUAGUCAAAUCUCAUAUUCCAACUUAUCGGAGUUUGAUUGUCAUAUUACUUUCAAAUAGUUGGCUUCAAACACAACUUUUCCAUGAAAAAAACUAACAUGAUAAGUACACUUUCACUUGUCAUAUCAAAAUUAAGAAAAAAAAAAAUUUUAUGUGAGGAGUUGUUGACAUAAGUAAGGGUAGUCUUGGAAGUGUGGGGAAGAACAAUGUUUCAGUGCAUGAUCUGGGGAUUAUCUCCUCUGCAAUGUACUCCACAUGAAACUUACAUUUCCAUGUUUUCAAUUCAUUUAUGGAUAGUGCACAUUUACACCCUUUAACUAUUUGUUAUAAUAACUUGAAAUUGGACUUGGUGCCAUCCUGGGGAUCAUGACCCCAAAUUGCUUGAUAUAACGUUUUUGCAUAGGUAUAGGGUUUUAUAACGAGAAAGUUAUGUAAGCCUAAAAAGGGUUGAAUAAAGACAAGUUAAUUUUUUUAAUAAGGUUUUGAAUUUGAAGUUCUAAUUAAAUUAAAAUGAUUUGGAAAGAAUUUUAAAUGGAGAAUUUAAAAAGAAAAAUCUUUCCAAAUAAUAAAAAUAAUUUUCAAAGGAAUUUUAAAUAGAAAAAUUUUCCAAAUCAUUUCUAAUUUAAAAUAUGAAAUAUUUCAAAAUCAUUUUAAAACUCUUAACUUUCUAAAUUAUUUUUAGUAAAAUAUGAUUUAUAAAUUGAUUUUUACUCUAUUAGGUUUUUAUAUAUAUAUAGACCCUACCUAAAUGUGUGUGUAUUUUUUUUUGAACACAUCGAGAGAGAUUCGACCUAAUUUGUCUUACUAUUCUCAAUCUCUCAAAAAAGAUUCACAGUGUUAUCUUGGGUUGUUUGAAAACUUGUAUCAUCUCAACGAGACUAAUGUGUAUUAGUAAUUAACGUGUCGCACAUGUAGAUUAAGUCGUAAGUGCCGAAAAGUAAAGUCUUUAAGAUAAAACAGUCAAGUAAAUCUAUAUAACUUGAUCUCAUAUAGUGGAUUUAGCUUUGAAGUCUUAAACCUCAUGGUUUUUUAAUCUCCACAUUUAGUGUUAAAGUUUUUCACAUAAAAAAUUAUUGCGUGUCUUGCAUUUGUUUGAUUAUUUUAGUAUUUUAAUUAUGUUAAUUAUUCUUACAUGCAUUUUUUUAGGGUGUGUUUGACAGUGACUAUAGGAAAUAUUUUUAGUAUUGUUAACACCGAAAAUUUUCAUAUUUUAAAUAUUAGAAAUAUUUAAAAUGAUUCAUAUAAUUACUAUCAGAUGCAUUCUAAAAUUGGGUUAAUAAAUUUUACUCCUCUAAGUGUUACCUUAUUGGACAUUGAUUUUUUAGGUUGGACAUAGGGCACUCAUGAGAACAUAAUUGGGUUAACAUAUAUCCUAUUUUUAGGCGUUAAAAAUAAAAUUAAGACAAUAGAGAAAAAGCAAAAACAAAAAGGAAAGAAAACGAAAAAUAUAUUUAAAGGGAAGAAAUUACUUUUAUAUACUUCUUUAAACUUAUUUCAUUUGUUUUUUUUUUAUAAAAAUCAAAUAAUUUAAAAACAUAUUAGUUUAUUAUUAAUUUUAAUUAUAUUUGAUUUGAUAUUAUAUUUUUCAUAAUAUAUUAUACACUAGAUAAUAUUUUGUUUAAUAUUUUUUCCUCAAUAAUAUAAUGAAAAUAAUAAACAACGCUAACAAUAAUUAUAUAACAAGAGGACACAUUAAUAAUAAUAAUAAUAUUAAUUGUUAUAUAAAUUAAGGGUGGUAGUUGAAUGAGAUUUGGAAAAAAUAUUAAUGACAUGGAUCUUUUGAAAGGAAAUAGUGAAAGGACAUAAAUUUAAAUUAGAGCUCAAAAUAAUAAAUUAAUUAUAAAAAAAGGAGAGAGACAAGGAAACUUUAAAUAUUACUGGAAAAAUUAAUGACGUAUUUGAAAAAAGAUAAAAAAAAGAAAAAGUAGUCGAAUUCUAUCUUUGGGUAGCAUAAAUCCAGAUAAUGGUUGCAAUCCCGAUUUCACAGAUGGGUUUUAACUUUGAGAAAUAGGAAAUAAUUACAUAAAAUUAUUUUAAUUUUAAAGAAGAUGUAUUUGAAAUAAUAAUGUUGGUGGGAUACACUUAUUGUUUUCUAUUUUUAAAAUUAGAAAAUAAUAGUAUUUUUAUAUUUAACAAAUAUGAAUUUAUCUUAUUUUCUUAAUUAUUUUUAAAAUUUCUAAAAUUUGAAAUAGUAUCAAUUUUUAAAAAUUAUUUUUUUAAAUUAAGUCUUUAAAAGUUCUUAUAUUUUAAUUAAAAAAAAAAAAAAUCUUAACGGUAGAUGAAUCCAUAUCAAUAAAAUUUAUAAAAUAGGAUUGAUUUUUCAAACUUCAUAUGCCCUAGGAAACAAGGAUAUAACAUGUGGUAGUAAACAAAUCCAUAUCAAUAAAAAAGACUAGGAUGCCACACCGACGGUUAGAUGUCCUUAAGGUCAUGCUUGGUAUAAAGCAAAAAUAGACAUUUGGUUCAUUUUCUCGUCUCAGAUAAUUUAAACAACGAUAAAAAUGAAAUAAAAAAUUAAGAAUGAAAUCUUACUCCUAAGUAAUAGUCCAGUUGUUCCCCGUGAUGAGGUAUUUUGCAUAGAAAAUGAUAUAAGAUAUCUUAAAUUACUAUUUUACCCUUAUUUUUUUAUUAUAUUUUUAUAAUUAGUUUUUAUCUAUUAAGUAAAUAUAAUAUUUCUUAAUCUUAUUAUUUAACCAAAAAAAAUUUUAAAUGAUGUUUUUUUAAAAUUAUAUAUAUAUAUUAACUAUGUGUAAGAGUAUUAUUAUAAAUUUAUUUAUUUAUUUUAUUCUUAUUUCUAUUAUUACAAAAUAUUGAAAUGAAAACAAAUAAUCAUUUUAAUCCUACGUGUAUUCAAAUACAAAAAUUAGAAUCAGUAAAUUCAUUAUGAUUAAAGGAUAAAUGAGAAUAAAUAUAAAAUAUUUACUUCCAAUCCCCAUUCCUAUGUACCAAAUAGGAUCUUAAUUUUUCAAUAGUUUAAAUAAAUAUUAAAUUGAAUUGGUGUUGGUCGCCUUAGAAAUUAGCAAAGUUAUUUUCCAAAUGUGAUCAAACUAGUGAUGUUAUUUUUCAUGUGAUAAGGUUACUAAUUGAACGAAGUUAAAACAUGAAAUCAUGUAGCCUCUUCUUAUCAUCGGGUUAUUUUUAUGAUACCUAAUUGUGCAAAAAACCAAAAAGUAUAAUAAUAGUGAAAUACUUUAAUAGAGCCCACACAUGGUAAUAACAAUAAUAUAAUAAGUAUAAUUGAAUAAUUAUAAAAUCUUGGAGAUAAAAGUUUUAGGGCCUUGAUUUGAUAAAUUUUAUUGGAUUUAUACAUUUACUUUGACUCUUACGUCCAACACGACAAGGUCCAUGGAACCGGGUCGGGUCAACCCCGGUUCGGCUAGUGCCCUAGCGCCAAUAUAUGAUUUCAUAGUUGAAGACAAAAGAAGAGGCACACACAGCUGAGAAAUUGUGAAAUUCUCUCUUAACAUUGCCUACUACACAGAGCCAUUGCCUGGUAUUUUUCUCCCUUCUUCUCUUUCUUCUUCAUUUUUCUCUUCAAUUCAAUUUCUCACUACCAUUUAGGGUUUCAAUUCUGCCGAUAAUCAACAAAUUCGAUGUGUUUUUUUCUUUUUUUUUUUUGCUUUCCCCCAGUCUUUUGUUGAAUUUAAUCAAGCAUGAGUGGUGUUCCCAAGAGGCCUCACGAUGAGGUCGGCGGUGGAAGCGGCGGUGCUGCUGCUGCUGCUGCUGCUGCUGGGCAUUCCUCCGGUGCUUCUAAGUAUCCGCAUGAAGAUUCCGGCAAUGCAUUUGCUGGGAAAUUGAACCCAUCGUCGUCUUCAGCACCAGUUCCAUCUUCGGUGGUUGCUAAUGAAUAUCAUUCCCAUCCUCCGCAUUCGCAUAAUCAUUCGACUUUUGAAUUGGGUCCUGGCCCCAAGAUCCCUCGCUCCGAACUACGGGAUUCAGAUAAGAGAUCGCCACUUAUAUCGAUGUACAGAAUGCAGGAUUCACAGCAUUCGGAUCAUCCUGGUGGUGGUUCGGAUGCAAAGGGUGAUCCUGCCAAGGGGGAGAGGGAUUCGCAAAAGGGUUUCGAGAGUAGGGGUGAUGAUGGUAUUAGUACUAACAGCAAUAAAGAAGUGAAAUUUGAUGGUGAUUCGAAGAUGGAGAAGGAGGGUUUUGGUUCGGGAAAUGUUAGUCAUUUAAAUUGGAAAGAAUCCAAGGAGUAUCAUCGAGGGAAACGUUAUUCGGAAACCCCAGGCGGGAAUGUAGACCCCUGGGUUAUGUCACGGCCUAAUUUGCAUGGUACAGGUGAGGUGGGAAAGGAGAGUCUGGCCCCUGCGGAUGACAGGGAGUACCUGGAAACGCAUGAGGCUGUUGGGGAAAAUAAGGUUGAUUUGAAGGUCGAGGAUAAGUUCAAGGACAAGGACAGGAAGAGGAAAGAUGCAAAGCAUAGGGAUUGGGGGGAAAGGGAUAAGGAGAGGAGUGAUCGCCGGAAUAACAACUUGCAAGUAGGUAAUAGCAGUGGUGAGGGUAAAGAUUUGAGUAGGGAAGAAAGAGAAGCGGAGAGGUGGGAGAGAGAGAGGAAGGAUGUCUCAAAAGACAAAGAAAGGCCAAAAGAGAGGGAAAAGGAUCAUAGUAAGAGAGAAGCAUGGAAUGGAGUGGAGAAAGAUGGUCUGCAUAGUGACAAAGAAGUGGUCGAUGGAUCUGUGAGAAUGUCUGAGCAGGAAAGUCCAGCUUCGGAGCAAAAGAAACAAAAAGAAUUUGAUGGCUGGAAGAAUGUUGAUAGGGAAGCUAGGGAUAGAAGAAAAGAAAGGGAUGCUGAUGCAGAAGGUGAUAGACCUGAAAAGCGCAGUAGGGUUUAUGACAGAGAAUCAGAUGAUGGUUGUGCAGAUGUUGAAGGGGGUACAGACAGGGAAAGAGAAGUUUUCAAUCAUGGAGUUCAUCGUAAGAGGAUGCUUCGCCCGAGGGGAAGUCCUCAAAUGGCAAAUCGUAGGUCUCGUGCUCAGGAUGUCGAAGGGUAUGUCUUAUUAUAUUUCUUUGUUUCUGGUAUUAAAUGCAAGUAUAUCUAGAAUAUUGAUUAAUUUGCAUCAUUUCAUAUGUCCAUAUGCACUUAUGCUCAGGAUCCAUGUUAUAACCUUAAACUUACUAAUAUUGUUAAACUAAGUGUCUUGUUUUGCCUGAGUAGGUUUUGUGAUUGUGUUUCUACAUGUGUCUCCUCAGAGUCACCAGUUUUUUGCCCUUCAAUAUAUAAGUGCCUGAACCAUGGAGUGAUUGUUAAGCAUCAGGAAAUGCGUAUCAAUGCGUAGGUUAUAUGAGGUGCCUGUAAAAAGUAACAUAAGGCAAUUUUAUUUAUUUGAAGACUGACGUCACUUGUCUCUCUUUUUUUUUUUGUAAACUUAAGUGAUGUUUAAGGUAUGAUCUAAUUUCUUUAAAUUACUUUGAAUUACCAAUCACUACUUUUUGUUGAAUAUUUGAUUCAUUAUCUAAAAUAUUUCUCCCUGUGUCGAUGUUGGUGGUAGAGAUCCUUGGGACGCUGAAAACAUUGUUUAUGAAUCCAUGUGUCUAGUAUUCUCGAGAAUGCGGAGUAUUAUUGAAAUCGAGUUAUGGUUUGUAUAUGAUGACGGGGAUGGGAAUCAUGCCUGCAUAGGAAUCCUAUGUGGAUAGCUCCAUAUCCUCCUUUUGUAGUCUAUUGUAUACAUUGAUCUUGGAUGGAAAUAUCACUCUUAUAUUUGCUCUUAUUUAAUAUCUUGUCACGUUAAUGUGCUUCGGUGUGUCUUCUAUAUAGAAGCAACAUUCUCUUCACUACUAUAAAAUAUCAAAUAUGACAUAACAGUGUAAUCCUAUACCAAAGCUAGAGGAUAUUUGAACUUUAUGUCCUUGUUUUAUUAUGAGAUUUUCACCCUUCUUGUUUUUUAUUUGUUUAUUUAUUUAUUUUUAUUUUUUUAUUGACAAGCAAACAAAAAACUACGAUAAAAGCGCCUAACACAAAGGGGGCACACCCAUGUGCAUAGGGGGUAUUCUAGAGGCGCCAAACAAGGAGCAUCAAAUUCCCUAUGAAGAAACCAAAUAAGCUGAACUAGGUAUCUACAAUUCAAAUUCUCAAUGAACUCCAAUACUGUAAAAUUUUCCAUAUCCAAAAGGGCUCUUGACUAUUCAUUUAAUGAAGGUCUCCUUGUAGCCUUUCCUCUGAAAGUUCUUCACCAUUAAAAAAACAACUGUGUUGGUCUAUCCAUAUGCAUUAGAACAUACAGAGGAGCCAAAUGCCAAACUUCCUUUCACCACUUAUUUAGUUUCCAAAACUUUCAACCCAACAAAAGAUCUUUUAGUGAGAAAGGAAAUACCCACUUCAAUCUAAAAAUGUAAUGUUCAACGACAUGACCUACAACUAUCUGGAUCUAUCACAAUGAAUUAAAUAUGAUUGGCUAAUUCUUCAUUGGAUUUACCAAGGCUACAUCUUUUAAGUAGUGUCCAACCCCUUCUGAUAAAUCAUACUUUUGGUUUUUCAUAUAUUGCACAGAAUGGUAAUGCACCUCGUUAUCCAGAAAAAAUCUUUUAUCAAUAACCUUAACCAUUUUCUGAUUAUUAAAAAAAAACCCUUAGUUGCCAAGUAAAAAUACAAUAGCAACAAACAUUGAGAUGCAUCUUUAGAAUUCCAAAAUGGUUGAGAAGAAUGUUUAAAAAUUCUUAAUCUUAUAUGAUUGGGAUUAUAUAAUUUUAAAGAUGCCAUCUCUAGUUUGGGUUGUUGAUUUGAAAAGUUAGAAUUGGUUCUUAUUGAAGAAGUGAAAUGGAAAGCAUUAAUUAUGAAUUUAUUAGAUUUGUCUUGAAAAUUUCUAAUCAAAGAAUGUUUUGUGAGAAUAAAGGAGCCUAGACGAAUACAGAUAAGAAACUCCCCACUUUAUAAAUGAUGCAAUUAUGUAUUGAAUCACCACAAGCUUUUAGUUUUGCCUCCUCCUUUAUUUUUGUCUUGUAUGGCAAUUGAGGAAAAAUGGAUUGGAUAGGUGAAGUCUCAUGUUCCAUUGUCAUGGUUCUUAAUGUUGGUUAAUGGGGCUUAUAAAGGUUCUUCAAGAGUUCUAAGGGGUUUCUGUUAGGGGAUCUUCUAUUUCGUUUUCUAUUUACUUUCAUCAUGAUGAGAGUGUACAAUAGGUUGGAUAAUUCAAUGGCAGUUCAAGACUUUUAGGUUGGUUUAAGCAUUGGGGAGUGGAUUGAGAUAUUUUGUAAAUGUUUUUUUUUCUUGGAUAAUUGGGAAACCUCACCAUGGUAGGGCCUUUUGGCCCUACCCAUGGUUUUCAAUCCUUGAGGAGCUUGACUUCACUCGCCAUAGCCAACUCCGGGUGAUUUAUGGAUUCCUAAUGGUAGGAGGAAAUGGUUGCUAUUAUGGCAAGCUCUUCAGAUGCUCAUAAGAUGUGGAUAUUUGUUUAUGGGGAAUGUCAAGGUUCUUCUACCCAUCUUAGAAUGGGAACAAUCACUUGAUAAGCUGACUGAAGGGGAGGUCACCUUGGGCAUGACAAAGUGGGAGGUUACCCUCCACUCAUAAAAGUGGGUGAUCACUCUACAAUCUUUGCUUCUUAGCCCAUUGGACUUCUUGCCUCAUUAAGGGGAUACGGUGAAUGACCAUCUCCACACCCCUCUAACAAAAGAGGUUGGAAAGAACAUCACCACAUCGAGGUUAUUACCUACACUUCACUUGAGAAGGUGCCUACUAGCGGAAUGCACUAGAUGCUUCGUGCUUGGUUGAGUUGGAACUAGGACAUGGGAAAGCCAAUGGCCUUGGUGCACCUCGGUGAUAGUCACAAGUUGCCUCAUCAUCAAAUACGUAGGAUGGUUUGAAGAUUGAUUUGAUGGCUAGAGCAGGAGGCUCGUUGAUACCAGAACAUCUUGCACAUUAUCAAGCUCGUUUUGGCUGCAUGCGAGAAAGAAUCAACACAAUCAGUGGGACAUGCUGCAUCUUUUUAUGAAAAAGGGCUACCAUAUGCCACUCCAUUGGCUCAUGGGUGCCAUCCAGUUUCCAUUUUUGGAAAUUGAAAUGAUGGAAUUUCAAAGUAUUGUGCUGUGCUGUGUUGGUUUGUUUUGUUUUGCUUUUGGAUAUGCAAAUAAGAAAAAAAUUACUAAAGGUGUCAAACAAGGCACAACCUAGUAACAAAGCAAUUUUAAGUUUCUCAUUCCAAGACCUUUUCACUUUGUAAAUGAUCUUCACUUUUGGAAAUGUGAGAUAUAACUUCUUCACAUUUCUUGAGAGGAUUCGGUUUGGAUAAAGAAAUUUGAUAAGUGGUUUUUGAAAAAUGUGCCCCUCACCCACCCUUUGUUUUGUUUCCUUUUUGAAAACAAAGAUUUAUAUCAACACAUUUUUUAACAAUCUAAGAGAAAUUUGUUUUGUUUUAUUUCAUAAGUGGUUUUUGAAUUAAUCAAAGUUAAAUCAUUUUAAGCGAAGAUGAAGGGAAAAAGAUUGAAAGAGUUUAGGAUGUGGAAGGUCUUGUCUCGAUUGGAUAUGAGAUUAUGAAUUAGAAAAUUGAAAAUGUUUAGAAGGGGAUUAAUUCAUGUUCUAUGGUUACUAUCUUUGAAUGAGGGGGAUUCAUAGGAAAUUGAUGAAGGUCUUGUUUGGUACCCCUUUUGGCCUCUAUUUAGAAAAUUUUUGAAAACACAUAUCGGGUCCCUCAAAUUUUUUUAAUAACUGCUCCUAACCAUUCACAAUAAUUGUUGUCAACAUAUUGCCCCUUCAUGUCUCUUUCUAUCUCUAUCCUAUGCAAGUGUAAUCCAUAAAAUAUUUAUGUGCACUUCAACAUUUUGAAAUGACCUAAUUUUAUUUAUCUCCUUUUGGUAUAAGAAACAAAUUCCAUAAUUUAGCAAUAAGCCAUGGUUGUAAUAAUUAUGUUUUCACUUAUCAUCUGUUUAAAUUGUUAAUUAUGCCAUUAAAUCAUACAGUCGACAAAUGGAGCCUCAAAUGUAAAUGAUAUAAAUGUCAAAUUAUUUUAGACAAUUUAGAAGGAAAGAAAAUGAAGAGCGUUGGAAAAUGUGGAUUAGCCGGUUCAAUAUUUGAAGAGCUCCUUCAUUAGAAGCUUGUCAUUGUGGGUUAGGAUGUACAUAGCAAAAGGAUCAAUAUCUUUAAUUGAUUUUGUAGAUUGGGUAGGAUUUAGCUAAGGGAGGGAGUAGUUUUUUGUGUUUUCCUGCCUCUAGGCUUUGCCUUUCUUUAUCCAUUAUAUACGAUCUAUGUGCCUUGCUGUAUAGUUUUUUGAAGCUAUCAAUAUAUUUGUUUAUUUUUCAAAAAAGAAAAAAAAGAAAAAGAAAAAGAACAAGAAAAAGAAAAAUUGAUUUAUUUGUGACAUAUAUGGGUGUUACCUUGAAUUGAACAAUUUCAUUGUAUGCCACAAUAGUCUUGUUUUGGGUGAAUAAGGAAGAAAUAGGCCCUUGGAAAUUUGAUUGGUGGCUUUGCCAUAUAUUUAUUCUGCAUCAAAUUUUUUUUUUUUUUAGAGAUAUAAUAUUGAAAGUGCCAAAAGGGGCGCACAAAGGUACAUAUGAUCUAUACAACGACUGCCAAAAAACGCUAAAAAAGGGACGAAAAAACAAAAAAUACUCCCUCUCUCAAACUGCACCCAUCCAAUCAAUGAAAUCAAAUAUGGAUAACAAUCUUUCUCCUAUAAGCAGCUUGGACCAAGAAAUUUAUUUUGCAUCAAAGUUGGCGUGCUCAUUCUAUGAAUUCCUUGCUUAGCUAGUUACAUCUUGGAUAUGUUUGUGAAGUAGGUAGCCAAACAUUUGAACCCUUUUGUGGGGGAUUUGCUACUUGCUUUAGUAAUUAUUUUCUAAUCCCUUUACUCCAUAGGGCCUUCUCCAAUAGGGGUGGUUCUGUCAAAUGACCUAGCCUCCCUUGGCUCUUCCACCGUUCGGGCUCCCUUUCCUCCCUAUGCUCCUACCACAAUUUACUCCUACAACCCUUUUGCUAGACUAGACAGUCUAUGUUAGUAACACCAUCCUCCCCGCCAGUUGUAUUGGUGGGUUGUCCCUUGGCAUUUUGUUAGGGUAUGGAUUAUGGAAACAAACAUAGUUAAAUGGGACAACAAGGGGGUUGUAACUACUUUCAAAUAUGCAAUGACCUAAACUUUCUAGAGUAUAUGGUUUUUUUUUCUACUUUUGAUCAAGUUUAUGAUGGUCUAUGGGGGGAAACUUUUCUUAUCCUUCUAUGUACUUAUUUUAUGGCAAUGGAAUGUUUGUUUCUUACAAGUUCCAUUUCAUUACGUAUAAUGGAUGAGAGCUGACAAGUAUACAAGCUGAUAUUACUCUAAACACCUCUAGUUAAAGACCUACUUCAUUAUAUAUAUGAGUGUGUGUGUGUGUGUGUUAAAAACUUCUUCAUGGUACACCUUUCCAUGUGAACAAAUGAAGGAAGUGAUGGACGAAAGCAUGUGAGAGUCCAAGGAUGCUACUAGUAAUGUUUAAUAGUAAAAUGAGUUGAAAAAAUAAUGACAAUCAUGAGCUAUGAGAGUUUUUCAAAUGUAUCUUAUGUCGUAUUUCUAUAGAAAGUUAGAAAUAGAGUUACAAGAUAUUUUAAUGACAAGAUGAUUUUAUAAGCUUGGGGGGCAACUGAAAGCAUCACGAACAACAAAAAAAUGCUUAACAUGCUUUUAGGAGUGAAAUAAUUUAAAACUUCAAUAAAAAAACAGUCUUACAAUCAUUUGCAUGUGUUUAGUCUUUUGUUAACUUUGAAAGAAAUUAGAAAAAAUAAAAAGGAAAAUGUGGGUGUAGGAGAUUAGUGCUAAGUCUUGCAACUUACAAUGAUAAGAUGAUAGUUGUGAAAGAAGUUUUUAAAUUUCCUUGAUGGUACUCUUCUAAAGGAGAUUUGGUUGUAUAAAACACAAGUUUGAUGUGGAUGGAAUUAGGUAUGACCUAACCAUGUGUGAAAAUGGUCUAUGCAUAUCUUGAUGUAUUGGAAAUGUUGUGCACAAUGUUUCUUUUUUGUUAGUGUGUAUGGGAGUACUCUCCCCCUAAGGAGAUUUGAUCCUUCAACAAUGUAUCUUUUCUUGUUGUGUCUGGGUGCUCUUCCGAAGGAGAUCUAGCUAUAUUUGACAUGUGUUGAAUGCAGAUGGAACAAGAUAUGGACCGACCAUGUGUCAGAUAUGGUCUAUGCAUAUGUUAAUAUGUGUUGGAAUUGUUGUGCAUUUAUCCUACAAUAACUUUUCUUCCUUUUUUGGUGGUUUUCCUUUCUUAUGAUAGGGGUGUGUGUGAGAGAGAGAGAGAGUGAGAGAGAGAUAUGGACUCUAUAAUCGAUUUGAAGAGGAGAGUGAUAAAGAUGGACUCUAUAAUUGAUCCAAAGAAAAGGGAGAGAGAGAUGGACUCUUUUAUUGAUUUGAAGCAGUCAUGGGCUCUUCAAAGGCGAAAGAGAAGCUUCUCAGCACCUUGUUUGUCUUGGAUCACUCCAGAGCUUCUUUCUCUCGAGUAAAACAUUUUUCUCAUUUUUAUUUUUGGUUUUUUUACAAUUUUUUUUUAUUGAUUUUGAAGAGAAAAAGAGUAUUGGAUCUCUCCAUGACAUCUUUGUCUUAAGUAAAACAUUUUUCUCAUUUUCUUUUUUUUUUUUCUUUAUAAAGAUUCUCAUUUCAUUUGAAGAUUGGGUUUAGAUCUAGUCAAUUUUGAUGGUUGUUUGCAAGGAAGGCAAAGCUAGAUGGGGAUUGAUGGUGUUUUUAGAGAUCACUAGAUUGAUCUUUUUCAAUUUUAAUGUUUGUUUGCUAGGGGAUCCGUGGUAGAUGGGGAUUGAUGGUGUUUUUAGAGACUACAAUGGUUGUGGGUGAUUAAAGCUUUCAAAGUCAUCAAAUUCUAGGUUAGCUAUUGAUGCUUGCAUUUUAGCUUGGGAAAGGGAGGAUGCUUUAGAUGCAAUUGCUUGGAUUUGGCUACUCUUAUUCUUAGAUGCUUAGGUUGCCAACUAGGUAGCAGAUCAUUGGCAAAACAAGAAGCCUCAUUGUUAGAGGCAUCUAUUAUGACCUUCCUUCCCUUUGAGUAUUCGUCUAUGACUAUUUAGGGAUGUGGAGUUGUUGGACUAAAGCAAAUUUUCGCAAUUUGAUGGUUGUUUGCUAGGGAAUUGAGGCAAGAUGAGGAUCAAUGGUGUUUUUAGAUAUCACAAUGAGACUAGGAUUAGAGCUUUCAAAGUCACCUAAUUUUGGUUUGGCCAUUGAUGUUGACAUUUUAUCUUAAAGGACGGGGCUAUUGGGAUGCAUUACUUGGAUUUGGCUACUCUUAUCUUAGAUGCUUAGAUCUACUCACAGGCACCUUAUCAUUGGAAAGCCGAGAAGCCUCACCGUUAGAGGCAUCUAUUAGUUCAUUUCUUUCCCCUUGAGUGUUUGUUCUAGGACUUUUAGGGAUGUGGAGCAAUUGGGUCAAGCUUUGGGAGAGUCUUUCCUUAGAUCUCUAUCUCUAUUUAAAUGGUCUAUUGACUCUUUACAAAUUCUGAACCCUUCUAUCUUGGAUUUAAUUGAUUAUAUUAGGAUGGUUAGUUCCUUGUGGGAAUUUUUGUUCUCCCUUCAUUUUUAGAUGCCCUCUAUAUACUUCCUACGUACUAGGGUUACAUCCCCCCUUUUUAGUUAGACAUCUUUUAGUAUAUUCUUAUCCUUGGUUUAUAAAAAAAAAUGUCUUGGUCUUUGGAUCCCUUGCUGGAUCUAAUGGCAGUUUAGGUUAAAGCUUUCUCUUGGUCCUUGGUCUAAUUUGCAAUCCUAUUUCUUUUGAUGAAUUAAUGAAUUAUUUGUUUCUUACAACCCAACCCCGCCACCUCAAAUCGCAUCUUCUAUAAGGAAAAAGAAAACAUUCUCCUGGAUUUCAACCUUUUGGGCAUGUGAUCAUCUUUGAAGCUGAUGAUGAUUAGCCAUUGUUCAAGAAAUGAUGUGGUAAGAAUAGCGACAUAUGACCUAGAAUCUCAUCAUCUUAAUUUGACCAAAUUUUUUUUGACAUCGGAUGUUGUCUCUUUGGUUUCAUGUGAUGGUUCAUCUGGUUCUUUAAUUUUUUUUUCUAUUCGAUGAUCUAGAUAUGUUUUUAGCAAGUAUGGAUUGAAAGGGAUUGUGGUGACAAUUUGUAUUAUGCCUCCUUGUUUACAUAUGUGUUUCUAUUUAAUGGUUUCCUUUUUUAUUUGAUAGGCAAUAAAACAGAAUAUUUGAAAAGGUGCUUAACAAAAAGGAAGGGUGCAACCCAUGUACACAUGUAUACAAGCAGUGCAAAAAACAACUUAGGACACUGCUAAUCUAACUAAUUCCCUUCCUGUCUAUAGAGUUUCAAGAAAGGCAACAAAUUAUAGCCCAUAUCCCUGCUUUACCACCAAAGUAAGGAUUUGAGAAUUUCAGUUCCACAGAAAACCAUUUCAGAUCUUCAAAUGUCUUUUUAUUGCACUAAUUCCAUGCAACCAAAAGAUGCACAAGAGAACCAUCCUCCAAGUUGCCUUGCACUUAGAUCCCACAAAUGAACCAUGUUGAGUAAGAAGAACAUUUCAAACCAGGUGGGGAAACACCUAGGCAAUGCUAAAAGAUGACAACAAUCACCCAUAGGGGCUGUAGCUUCCAGAUCUUCAUUACAGAAUAACCUAUUCAUGAAGCUCCAACCUCUUUUGAUGAGUUGGUCUAAAGUUGAGAUCCCCCCCCGCCCAAAAAAAAAAAAAAAAAGAAAGAAAAGAGAAGAAAAAGACCCACAGCAAGGAAUCCACUGUUGGCAUCUCUGUCUCUAAAAUGUUCCUUCUGAACCUGGGAUUCCAGUUGCUCCCAUCCCAGAAAUCUGCCACCCAAGCAUCCUUGUGAACCACCAUGAUGACAAGCUCCACAAAAUGAUCCUUUAAAGGAGUCUCCUCUGAUCAAGGGUCAUCCCAAAAUCUUAUGGUCAUUCCAAAUAGAGGGCCUUGUCCUUGAGGAAAAAAUAUAAGCCCACGCUUCCUAAUGGCUUUCCAAAAGUUUGAGCCAUAUGCUUCCCUGUCUAUUGUAGAACACCAUCCCCUCUCCAUUUCCCAUACUUCCCUGCUAUCAUCUUUCCCCUUAGGUGAUUUCAUUUCUUGAGUAGUCUUGUGGAGUUUAUAAAGCCAAAAGUAAACAGGGCUGUUAUAACAGGUAUUAGAAUUAAUUUUUGUAUGUUUAUUGACAUAUCUUAUGUCUUUCCUUGUUUAAUAGUUAAUUUUGAUUUCAAGAGUAACUUUAUUAGAUAUGAUUUAUUUUUUAGAAAUUUUUUAUUGAAUUUACAUGGAAGGUCACUACAUGGAAGGUCACUAAUGGCAGCUGAAGCUGGAAACAAAUGGUGUUUCUUUUUGGAGUGUUGAAUAAUAAUUUUAAUUUACUGAUACGGUCAAUUUUAGAAUCCUUUUCACUUGCAUUCCUUGAAUUUAUAAGGAAGGCCACUGUAUCCAUCUGGAGUUGGGUGAGUGGUGUUUCUCUUUUGAGUUUCAAAUAAUCAUUUACUUUAUUAUAGAUGGUCAUUUUAGAGAAAUAUUCACUUGCCUGGAAACAUCUGAAUUUUGGCUUGUCCCUGUCCCAUUUUAAGGAUUGAAUACUCAUAGUUUCAAUGUGAUAUAAUUUGUUCUUUGGCUUCUAAUGGUAAAGCACAUUCUAAUUUUCUCUGUCUGUAUUUUCUUUUGCAUUGCAGGUCUCAAGGUAAUCUAUUGCAUUCUAUUUCAUUGAGUUGGAACUUUUACACUUCCUGAAAACAAGAUGAACCUGUGCACUGGUGCAAAGAUCCUUUUUCUUGAGAGAAAUUACUUUAGUUUGCAAAAUUCCAUUCAUCCUGAUUUUUUAUUUUAUUUUUUUAUUUGCAGCAAUAUUGUUUGCUCCUUUUCCCCCCUUAUUUCUGAUACUGGUAUUGUAUUUUGAUUGGUGUGAAGUGGAACUUAUACCCCUUGUGUUGUGUUGAUGUGAUUGAGAGGCUAUAUUUUAUAUAUGAACAUUACAAAAAUUAUAGCACUUCAUAUCUCAUGAUUUUUCUUUGACCUAUUAAAAAUAAUAAUAAUAAUAAUCUCGUGGUUUUCAUCAAUGAAACGUUGGUGCUUUUUCAGUGGUAACUAUGAAUAGGAUAGUCACCAUGAAAGGAAUGAAUGUGGGGCAGGGAAUUGUGUGUGUUUAACAUUUAACUUUAUUUUGUGUGGAACUUUAUUUAUCUCUGUGCUAUCUAGGGCCAUAUCUUCUAUUUGUAUUUGCUAUCUAGGUGCAUUUUUUGUGCCUACUUUAACCCCCAUAUUUUUGUCUCCCUUUCCCUGGAGCACCUUGAACCUAAACCAUGCCAGCAGAUUGUCAUCCUUUGAGUGGGGUUGAGGCUGGUUGUUGGAAUAGCCAAUUGAAUUCUUAUUUUGAGGUACUGGGGGUAAACUCCCAGUAGAGUGGAUUUGUCCUAGCUCAAUGGGGACCAUCUUCAAUUGUGCUUAAGGAAUGCGUUUGUGCACUUUGUUUGUAUGGGUGUGGUGGUGGUGGUUUUCUUCUUUUCCCUUUUUUUUUUCUGGUGAGGGUGUGGGGAGGUGUGUGAAUAGGAAGUUGAUAGUUUGGUAGGAAAAGUGUCUUCAUCCUGCCUUUUAUUGCAAGGAUAAUCUCUUAUGUGGGACUAAAGAAAAUAAGCUCCACAAUGGCUCACUUCUUAUAGAUUUCCUAUUUGAUUGCCUCUGGUUUCUUCUUUGGGUGGUGGGAUAUUUAAAAAUAACUUUUAUUAGGAAGAAUUCAGACUAAUGGCCACAAUGCAAUAAAUCAUUUGAUUUUUGGCAUACCUUUGCUCGGCAUUGACAUCCAUGGAUUAUGGUCCAUACAAUGUGUAAGAGUGUGGAAUGUCUCCCAUUUGAAGGACAAGAACCAUCAAUUUUUAAUGAAAAGAAGACCAAUAGCACUUACGGAAUGUGACCUGACAUUGAGAAGGGAUCAAGUCGAAAAAAUAUUUUUGAUACAGCAACUUAGACCUUAAAGAUCUAUAGAAAUCCAUAAAACAUGUUAUUAUUUGUCAUGAAAUUUGAGAAAUCUGGCCUGUUGGUGUUUUCCCAUACCCCCCCUCCUUUUUGUGUUUGUUGUAACAUAUGCUUUGUAUGGUCUUGAAGGAUGAUUUAACGCUUUAGGCCCAUAUUGGACAUCAUAAAGUUAGGUACUGUGUGGUUCCUUGGCAGGCUUUUUAUAUUUGAAACCUACUAAUGUUUCAGUUGCAGGUAAACCUGAAGUAUCCACUGUUGUUUAUAAAGUCGGUGAAUGCAUGCAAGAACUGAUAAAAUUGUGGAAGGAAUAUGAAUCAUCUCAAGCUGAUAAAAAUGGUGAAAGCUCUUCUAAUGGUCCUACUUUAGAAAUCCG